AUUUGAAAUCUGGCCUCGGCCCGAGUUGUAAUUUGUAGAGGAAGCUUCUGGUGCGGCGCCGUCCGAGUCUCCUGGAACGGAGCGCCAUAGAGGGUGAGAGCCCCGUAUGGACGGAUGCCAAACCUGUGUGAAGCUCCUUCGACGAGUCGAGUAGUUUGGGAAUGCUGCUCUAAAUGGGAGGUAAAUUCCUUCUAAAGCUAAAUAUUGGCCAGAGACCGAUAGCGCACAAGUAGAGUGAUCGAAAGAUGAAAAGCACUUUGAAAAGAGGGUUAAACAGCACGUGAAAUUGUUGAAAGGGAAGCGCUUGUGACCAGACUUGAGCGCGGCGGAUCAUCCGGUGUUCUCACCGGUGCACUCCGCCGCGCCCAGGCCAGCAUCGGUUUCCGCGGGGGGACAAAGGUCCCGGGAACGUAGCUCCUUCGGGAGUGUUAUAGCCCGGGGCGUAAUGCCCUCGUGGGGACCGAGGACCGCGCAUCUGCAAGGAUGCUGGCGUAAUGGUCAUCAGCGACCCGUCUUGAAACACGGACCAAGGAGUCAAGGUUUUGCGCGAGUGUUUGGGUGUUAAACCCGCACGCGUAAUGAAAGUGAACGUAGGUGAGAGCUUCGGCGCAUCAUCGACCGAUCCUGAUGUAUUCGGAUGGAUUUGAGUAGGAGCGUUAAGCCUUGGACCCGAAAGAUGGUGAACUAUGCUUGGAUAGGGUGAAGCCAGAGGAAACUCUGGUGGAGGCUCGCAGCGGUUCUGACGUGCAAAUCGAUCGUCAAAUCUGAGCAUGGGGGCGAAAGACUAAUCGAACCAUCUAGUAGCUGGUUACCGCCGAAG
rnacentral:rRNA from 1 species